ACUCCUACGGGAGGCAGCAGUGGGGAAUAUUGCGCAAUGGACGAAAGUCUGACGCAGCGACGCCGCGUGGAGGAUGAAGGUUUUCGGAUCGUAAACUCCUGUCAAGAGGGAAGAAACCUAUCAUGAAUAAUACUUAUGGUAAUUGACGGUACCUCUAGAGGAAGCACCGGCUAAUUCAGUGCCAGCAGCCGCGGUAAUACUGAAGGUGCAAGCGUUAAUCGGAAUCACUGGGGCGUAAAGCGCUCGUAGGUGGCUUUGUAAGUCAGGUGUGAAAGCCCACGGCUCAACCGUGGAAUUGCACUUGAUACUGCAUCGCUAGAGUAUAGGAGAGGGAAGUGGAAUUUCUGGUGUAGGAGUGAAAUCCGUAGAGAUCAGAAGGAACACCCGUGGCGAAGGCGACUUCCUGGACUAUUACUGACACUGAGGAGCGAAAGCGUGGGGAGCAAACAGGAUUAGAUACCCUGGUAGACUGUCA
rnacentral:rRNA from 1 species